UCCCUCCCUAAUCUUUUCUCUCUACUCAAGCCCACCUCCCUCUAUAGUAAAACCCUAAAAGCUAAGCUCUCACUAGCACAUACGGCUUUGACCGAGUGCGUCAGGCGUCACUGUCGCCACAACCAGCUAGUUGAGGCUCCUCUCUCUCUCCCCCCCGGUGGUUAAACUUGAUGAAUUUGGUGCAAAUUGCAUACGGUUGGAAAGCUUGUCAAGUUAGGAGCGUGAGGGUUCAAACGGUUCAUCAUUUCGUCUCGGAUGAGAAAGAUAUAGCAAGUUGAAGCUUAACUUGCUGAGUUGGACAGAACUGCUGAUGCUUAGACGCCGAAUCUGGAGCUGCAGCACCAUUGUUGCUGCCCUUGGAGGACUUAAUUCUGCAGCUAGGGGUUUAUUUCAUCCACAUGGGGUCUAAAGUAAAAUUAUAAAAAUGUGGGUGCUUGUUAAAAAGAUUUAGGAAAAUAUGGGCAAUAUAAGGAAAGGAGAUCUGAGGAAUUUUGGGGAUUGUUUUGAAGAUUUAAGGGCUGGACGUUUCAGAGCAGAAAGACACAGCAAGAGGAAAAGAAAGAGGGAUGGAGAGAGAUCGAGAAUGAAGACGGAGUUUCGAGUGAUGGCCGGGUAGUCUGACUGUGCAUGCGUCGUUCUCGGAGUGCAGAAUUGCUUCCUUUGGACCCAGAGAUAGAGAGGACGUUUCGCAGGCGACUGAGAGAAAGACAAACUGCGGAGCAAGGCAACGCAAUGGCAAACAACAACAAUGGGCAAGUUGUCGGUGCAGCGGCACCGAGAUCGGUUCGUGAAUAUGGAGUACCCAUUGUGCAAGGAAUCUCAUCGAGUAUCGUGCAACCACCUGCGCAGGCUAAUAAUUUCGAGCUAACGCCAUCCAUAAUUCAGAUGUUCUAGUCGAUGGUGACAUUUGGAGGGGGACCGGAUGAAGAUCCGAACGUUCACAUCUCCAAUUUCUUGAUGAUAUGCAGUACUUUCAAUCUUAAUGGUGUGUCAGAUGAUGUCAUCCGUCUGCGCUUAUUCCCAUUCUCAUUGAGGGAUGCAGCAAAGGAGUGGUUACUUUCCCAACCUCCUGAGUCGAUCGCGACUUGGGAUGAUUUGGCAGCGAAAUUCUACCCUCCGAGUAAGAUUGCCAAGUCAAGGACAGAAUUCAUUGCAUUUAAGCAAUUCGAGUCGGGGGUUAUUUGAGGAAGUGCCCAUACCAUGGUCUACCCAAGUGGCUACUAAUCUACACAUUAUAUAAUGGGUUGACAACUCCGAGUCAAGGUUCACUUGAUUCAACGGCUAGAGGAGACAUUAUGGAAAAGUCACUGAAGAGGCAUUUGAACUUAUGGAGAAGAUAGCAACCCAUAAUGAUGAGUGGCCCGGUGAGAGAUUAACUCCGAGAUAGACUGCAGGUGUUCAUGAGGUGGAUAUGGUUACAGCUUUAGCGGCACAAAUGACUGCACUUACAAAGAAAGUUGAUGCUCUCAGGAUUCAAUCACCUCCGAGUCUUGUGUUCAGUUGCAUCACGUGCGGUGAAGGACAUGCAACCGAGCAAUGUCCAUAUAUACGGUUGAAUCCGUAAACUAUUUGGGUGGCAAUCCGAGGAAUAAUCCUUAUUCUAAAACCUACAACCUAGGAUGGAGGAAUCAUCCCAAAUUUUCUUGGGGGAAUCAGCAGGGAUCAACCUCGAAACAGAGCUUAACUCCAGGUUUUCAGCCUCAACAACAGCAAACGCUUCCAACACAAGGUGGUGUCAGGUAUUGAAGAACUCCUUGCAAAGUACAUUUUGAAAACUGACAUUAUGUUACAGAACCAGCCCGCAUCUCUUAGGAGCUUGGAGGCACAAGUCGGGCAAAUGGCUCAAGCACUCAAUAACCGAGCGCAAGGAUCACUCCCAAGCAACACAGAGGUUAAUCCAAGGAGUGAUGUUUGAGAACAAGUGCAAGCAAUUACCAUGAGGAAUGGAAGAACACCGGAGGAAGUGAAAAGGACAACCUGACUGGUGCUUCAGCGUCACAAAACCCGUGCCACAGCACCGGAUCACUUGAGGAGGGCAGUACGUCCGGUGCUACAGCACCGAAUUUCAGUGCACUGGCACUGCCGGAGAAUAGUGGAUUCCGUGCUAUAACGCCACCCAUUCGAUGCCAAGGCAUUGAACUGACUGCCCACGUUAUGAAUCAGAUGAAAAAGGAGGAGAGUCCAAGGAAAGCAAGGAUAAGGACGUCACUCAAGCCGAGAAGAGGAUUUAUCCACCGCUGCCCUCUCCUCAGCGAGCUCAAAAGGAAAAGGAUGAGAAGCAGUUCCAGAGGUUUCUCGAUGUGUUCAAGAAAUUGCAAAUCAACAUUCCAUUGCAGAGGCCCUUGAGCAAAUGCCUAGUUACGUUAAAUUUACGAAAGAUGCGUUGUCAAAGAAAAGACAUCUCGGUGAGUAUGAAAUAGUUGCUCUAACAGAGGAGUGUAGCACAAUCUUACAGAAAAAGCUACAUCCGAAAUUAAACGAACCAGGUAGUUUCACCAUACCUUGCUCUAUUGGUUCUAAGUUCAUUGGUAAGGUGUCAGGUGAUCUAGGAGCUAGUAUUAACUUAAUAAUGCCUUUGUCCAUAUAUUGUGAUCUAGGUUUUGGGGAGGUGAAACCCACCUCGGUAACCUUGCAGUUAGCAGAUAGCUCUCUUUCUUAUUAUUGAGGAUGCUUUAGUAAAAAUUGAUAAAUUCAUAUUCCCUACCGACUUUAUUGUUCUUGACUUUGAUGAGGAUCGCGAUCCCUAUUAUUUUAGGGAGACCCUUUUUAGCCACAGAUUGGGCCCUCAUUGAUGUUGAAAAAGGUGAAUUGACGAUGAGUGUAAAUGAUGAGGAGGUAACUUUUAAAGUUUUCUGAGACAUGAAAUUACAAUAUUAAUCUAAAGAAUGUUUUUCUGUUGGUGUAUUGGACAGGAUGAUGAAUUGCACAUUCUAGGAAAGGCACAUCGAAGAUCUACCUAAAGAGAUGGCAGAGUAUGGUUGAAUCCUCACAAGUAAUGUGAGGGAAUAAAAUUCGCUGUGGAGGGAAAAGUUUACAAAUAGCGACCGGAAACAUGAUGUUGCCGCACAGAAAAUUUGAUGCCGUAGCACCGUGCCUACUGCCGCGGGGAAAUCCAUCGCAGUUAAUUUGGUGCUAAUGCACCGAACCUACUGCCCUACGAGAAUUUUGUGCCAUUCCCAGAAAAAAAAAUUAAAAAUUAAAAAUUUAAAUUUAAAUCACGCAACAUUCCCAGUGUGCUUGCUGCCAAGGCGUCACUUAUGUAGAGCCAAGGCAUCAUACCCAAAAAAAAAUUAAAAUUAAAAUUGAAAAACAACCAAAAUAAAAAAGGAAAUCGAUAUUUUAUUUCUCAAAUCCUUCCCUGUUUCACUUUCCGAUUCUUUAAUAUUGUGUUCGAAGUAAACCCCGAUUCUUCUUCCAUUUUUUUUCUUAUCCGUCACGUUCACUUUCUCCCUCUCUGUGUGGAAGAUUAAAAAUCGUGAAGUGCCUCAGUAUUUUGAAACCAAAACGCCUGUGGAAUCAUUGUCUUCUCCACCGCGUGCUUGUAUUCUUUAUCAUCCUGUCGUGGAGUUCCAGUCCGGGUUAUCACAUCAACUGCGCUUUCACCGUCCAUCAUGUGUUGCUGGAUCGCUCAAGAAUUCGUUCGUCACAUUUGGAGAGCUGGAGUACACUAGGACCGUGAAGAGGAAAUUCUUGAACCAAAGGACCCCAUCAAUCAUCACAUGGUGAAGAAGACUCGUCUGAGAGACGGCCGGGUGAGAGAUGAACGAGAAGCAGCUCGACAAGCAGCAGCCUGAGCAACUGCAGCUCGGGCCCCUCAAGCAAGGUUCGAGCGGUUCAUGGAGCAUCAAUUAAAGUGCAAUCGGAUCCAAGAUGCAUUGCAAAGGAAGAUGGCUGCUGCUUUGAAUGUGGACAUUGGAGAUAUCGAGGAAUUGCCAGAUACACCAACCUUUUCUGACGAGGUGGAGAGCGGCUCAGGGGCAAACUCGUGGGGGAGUUUUCUUUCUACCCUUUCCCAUGCUUUAAUUGUUAUUAUUCAUAAACAUCGAGGACAAUGUUCAGGAUAGGUUUGGGUGGAAGGAUGAAUAUUUUUUGUUUGCCUCUGAAAUUUGAUGUGAUAUGGUGAUAUGUGAGUUUAGAAUAGGUUUGGCGGAGCACUUGUCGAAUUCCGGCUGUGGUGAUUUGGUUAUAGGCUGACUUUUUCUUGUUCAUGUUGAUUUUGCGGUCUAGGUUGAAUUUAGGAUUUGGUCUUGUCUUAGGUAUUUUUAGGUUGAGUCAGUGUCUAGUCCUCAACUAGCUUCAAUUAAAUUGAAAAUGGAUUGGUCUCUGUUCAAUGACGAUUUUAGUGGUGGUAUUCGUAUCUUGUGGUCAUAGGAUUUCCUGAAAUUUAACUCGUGCUUAAGAUAGAGUGCAAUUCCAAUCUAAUUUUUGGAAUUUAAAAGAAAAAAUUAUUAAAAAAUGAUUUUCUGAGCCAAAUUGUUUUCAGAACCAUACGCGGUUUGAGUAAGAGUAGAUUAAGUCGAAGAGACAUUGAAUUCAUUAAGCAUUUCAUCUUACCACUUGAGUUGCCCUGGUAUAAUUUUUUAUUUGGAGUCUAUUCAUGUUAGCAUGGGGAAUCAAUUUCCCUUGGUGAGGUUUUGAGCUUUCUUGCCGGAUUGAUAUAGUUUAUAUCGAUCAAUACAAUUUUCUUUCAUGAGGGUCAAUCCAUGUCUAUGUCGCUCUAGAACUUGUUUGAAAUACUUGUUGAGACUUAAUUCAUUUGCAUACAUGAAUUGACCCUCAUGAUGAGUGUUUGAAAUUCUUUGUUUUAAAAGAGAGAAGAAGAGAUUAAGCCUUAGUACGAGCAAGAGAAGCGGGUUUUUAGACCAUGGGAUUUAAUCUCGGGAUUUAUGGGUUUUAGCCACUUUCUUUCCCUUUAUAUUUCAACCAAAUAAUUGGUUCAGAUACCUAGCCACAUUACAACCAAAUGAAAGUCCUUAUGAUUCAUGUUUGCAUAUGAGCCAAAUAGUGGAGAUGAGAUGGACAAGCAAGCCUAUGGUAGUGCAUUUUCAUUGGAAUUGGAUUUGAGUGUAAAUAUAUAACCAUACCCAAGAGAGACGAGUGUAUACUAUUUUUCGGUGAGGAACUACUAUACUGGUAUGUUUGGCUUUUCAAUAAGAUAUUAUGCUAAGACUCUUGAGUGACUAGGGGAGAUUUGUUUGUGAAAAUUCAUUUUCUUUGACAACUUAAUUCACUCUUUAUUAUUACUGUGUGGUUCAUGUUUUUGGAAGAUGGAAGAUGCUAAUGCAUUGCUUCUCAAUCAUGGCUUAGGUGAUGAAUGGAAUGAGACCAUUAGGUCAAGUGCAGCCACUCUUGAGAACAUUAUGGGAACUAUCAAUGUUCGAUAAUUUGGGUCUUGAGGAUAAUUUUUUGACGAGUUAUUUUUGUUUUGCUUUGAUUUUAUUUGUCUUUGCUCGAGGACUAGCAAAAAUUAGGUUUGGGGGUACGAUAACUCUAUGAAAAUAGAGUUAGGGGACACUUUUUAUGGGCAUAAUUGUGGCUAGUGUAUCGAUUUUAAGUUUAUUUUGGUGGUAUUUAGUUUAGUUUUCAUUCAUAAGUAUUUUGAUAAGUUUUAGUAGUUUCUAUUAGUUUCAGGUCAUUUUAUUCGAUUUUGAGUCAUUUAAUUGAUCGGUCAUUGCAACCUCUUAUUUCUCUAUAUUUUUUUACAGGUUAAACUUGAUGAAUUUGGUGCAAAUUGCAUAUGGUUGGAAAGCUUGUCGAGUCAGGAGCGUGAUGGUUCAAACGGUUCUUUAUUUCGAGCUCGGAUGAGAAAGAUAUAGCAAGUUGAAGCUGUCGAGUCAGGAACGUGAUGGUUCAAAUGGUUCUUCAUUUCGAGCUCGGAUGAGAAAGAUAUAGCAAGUUGAAGCUUAACGUGUGGAGUUGGACAGAACUGUUGAUGCUUAGGCGCCGAACCUGGAGCCUCCCUUGGACAACUUAAUUCUAAAGCUAGGGGUUUAUUUCAUCCACAUGGGGUCUAAAGUAAAAUUAUUAAAACACAUGGGUGCUUGUUAAAAAGAUUUAGGAAAAUAUGGGCAUAUAAGGAAAGGAGAUCUGAGGAAUUUUGGGGAUUGUUUUGAAGAUUUAAGUGGGGUCGGCAAUAUUUAACACGACACGAUAACACGACAUGGAUACGACACGGAGUUAAGUGGGUUUGAGUUAAGGCUAAAUGUAUUUCGAGUCUAAACCGGUCAAACCCGUUUAGACACGAUAAAUAAACGUGUUUAAACAGGUUCAACCUUAAAACCCGUUUAGACACGGUUAAGCCUGUUUAUAUUAUGUGUUAUCGUGUUAAUAAAUUUGUUUCGCAUACUA